GAUGAACGCUGGCGGCGUGCCUAAUACAUGCAAGUCGAGCGAACAGAUGAGGAGCUUGCUCCACUGACGUUAGCGGCGGACGGGUGAGUAACACGUGGAUAACCUACCUAUAAGACUGGGAUAACUUCGGGAAACCGGAGCUAAUACCGGAUAAUAUAUUGAACCGCAUGGUUCAAUAGUGAAAGACGGUUUUGCUGUCACUUAUAGAUGGAUCCGCGCCGCAUUAGCUAGUUGGUAAGGUAACGGCUUACCAAGGCAACGAUGCGUAGCCGACCUGAGAGGGUGAUCGGCCACACUGGAACUGAGACACGGUCCAGACUCCUACGGGAGGCAGCAGUAGGGAAUCUUCCGCAAUGGGCGAAAGCCUGACGGAGCAACGCCGCGUGAGUGAUGAAGGUCUUCGGACCGUAAAACUCUGUUAUUAGGGAAGAACAAAUGUGUAAGUAACUAUGCACGUCUUGACGGUACCUAAUCAGAAAGCCACGGCUAACUACGUG
rnacentral:rRNA from 1 species